GCGCUGCAGUCGCGAAACUUUACAAUGUGCGAAAGCACGAUAAGGGAACUCUGAGUGCCUCCUAAGGAGGCUGUUCAGGUGUCUAAAAAGCACCUGGAGUAAGGGCUGGGUAAGACCGGUGCCAGCCGCCGCGGUAACACCGGCAGCCCAGGUGGUAGCCACUUUUAUUGGGUCUAAAGCGUCCGUAGCCGGUUGAGUAAGUUCCUUGGGAAAUUUGGCUGCUCAACAGUCAAGCUUCCAGGGAAUACUGCUCGACUUGGGGACUGGGAGAGGUCAGAGGUACUCCAGGGGUAGGGGUGAAAUCCAUUAAUCCCUGGGGGACCACCGGUAGCGAAGGCGUCCAGCCAGAACGGGUCUGACGGUGAGGGACGAAACCCAGGGGAGCGAGCCGGAUUAGAUACCCCUGUAGU
rnacentral:rRNA from 1 species